UACGUAGGCAGCGAGCGUUGUUCGGAGUUACUGGGCGUAAAGGGUGUGUAGGCGGUUGUUUAAGUUUGGUGUGAAAUCUCCCGGCUCAACUGGGAGGGUGCGCCGAAUACUGAAUGACUAGAGUGCGGGAGAGGUGAGUGGAAUUCCUGGUGUAGCGGUGAAAUGCGUAGAUAUCAGGAGGAACACCGGUGGUGUAGACGGCUCACUGGACCGUAACUGACGCUGAGACACGAAAGCGUGGGUAGCAAACAGGAUUAGAACCUAC
rnacentral:rRNA from 1 species